rnacentral:rRNA from 1 species
UACGUAGGGUGCGAGCGUUAAUCGGAAUUACUGGGCGUAAAGGGUGCGCAGGCGGUUUUGUAAGCCAGAUGUGAAAUCCCCGGGCUUAACCUGGGAAUGGCAUUUGGGGACUGCAAGGCUGGAGUGCGGCAGAGGAGACUGGAAUUCCUGGUGUAGCAGUGAAAUGCGUAGAUAUCAGGAGGAAUACCGAUGGCGAAGGCAGGUCUCUGGGCUGACACUGACGCUCAUGCACGAAAGCGUGGG